rnacentral:misc_RNA from 1 species
GAAAGAUGUUACAACAUGUACAUUGUGUUCAAUGGCUCCAAAAAAAUCUGUAAAUUACAACCCAGUUACAAUACAAACAGAAGCCAUUUAAAAACAGGCUCAACAAUAAUCUCAACCUCUUAUACAUACUGAACGUUUGUGUAAAGAAUUGGAAUUUCUAGGCAGGGGGUCAAUAAUUUUAUUGCUAAUUGUAUAUAUGUCAGAAGGCAUAGUUCAUUCAAGAACCAGUCAGAUCAAAUUGGUUCAAGACUCACAUGAGAAGUUUCUAUAGUAACUCAAGGACAGAAGUUAAUUCUGUAACUAGAGAUAAAUCGGGCAAAUCAAACUGAACUGAUUCGUGCAGUGUUCUUUUUUUCAAACUAUUGUUGAUUUACUUACUCAAAUGCGAAGGUAACCGCUUCUUUCUUCACUGCCUCCAUGGGUCUUGUAGAGAAAUGACUUCCUGUUGAAGGACCAGCUUCUUUUUGUAGCCCACCUCCUCCUCCAAGAAGCUAAUCGACCGUAAAGUAAAGGGAAAAGGAAACACAUAAGCACGAGAAUUAGCAUUACCAGACAGAGCAACAUGACAUUACGGAAACCAUCUUGCAAUUCUGGGUCCUUUUGUCCUGUCCAUGGAACUCCCCCAACAUUCAUGCCAAACACUGUCAAGAGAGUGCAGAAAGAGUGAUUGAUAUUAGAUGCUACUUGAAAUCAACUUUUGAAGAUUUUAACCAAACCAAAGAUUAUAUAGAUAAGAAGCAUUUACCUCCAGUAAUUAUAGACAAUGGAAGGAAUACAAUUGAAAGGAAUGAAAGAUAAUACAGUUUCUUAUUUAUUUGCUCCGACUGCCAGCUAUCCAGACCUGCCUGAAUUGCUGUGACACGAUUUGCAAUAAACCCCACAUUCUCUUUUAGCCUCCUCAGCCGUCCGAUUAACUCGUCUAGGGAGUUAAUGUCUUUAUUGGCAAACCAUCUCUUUGAAGAGCAUUUUUCUUUUACUCGAGGAAAUACUUGCUCCCCUUGUGCAAUCACCUAAUUUCAGUUAAAAUACAAGGUUUAAACACAACUAUUUUAGUUUUAUAUUUGUUAGAGCCAAACAUAAUGACAAAACUUCCAUCCACGUACAUUCCUUAAAAUGAUAAAAGAUCAUUAAGGAGAAGAAAACGUCCAAUAUAAAUAGGCAAAAUGUUGUUGGCGAAGUUAAAGCGGGCUGAUAUGAAAACUGAAGUGCUUUAACUCAAUGAUGUAGAGACUCCUAAAAGAAUUCGACAUAAUUGGUCAAAGGCUUCAUGCUUUCUGCUGUUCUGUUUCUGGUCUUGAAUUUGCAUACUCACUAACCAACUCUUAAUUAUGGUUGAUUACCAAGCAACUAAAUUGAAUAAAUUUCUCUUCCAAUAUUUCUGUUCCAAAUCAGGAAAUAGAUAAAUUGGGUUGGAGAACCUACCUGCAGCAGACGCUGCAGAUUAAGAUGCAUUUUGGGGAAUCUUCUAUCAUCUAGCAUUUGUUUCUUCAAAGCAAAACUACCUUUGUCAAGUUCGAUCUCCACAGAAUCUAGCUCUAUCUCAAGUUUAGUCACAACAUCCUGAAGUUGAUCUACAUGCGUGUCAAUAAUGUGAACAACAAGGUUUGAGACAGCUCUUGGAACAGGAUUAUCAGCCUCCUCAGAGUGGUUCAUUGUUAGUAAGAACUCAAGAACAUGCUCCUUAAUCACAAUUCCACCCCCUUUCUUUUGCUCCCCUUCGUGGUGAGGGGGAGUCUCCACGCUAGGAAUCUCCGAGAGUAGAGAUUGACCCAUUGGUGAGAAACCCAAUCUUGGAACACGGCCUAAUGACACAGUAAUUACUGAAUUCUCAGUAACUCUAGCAGCUAAUCUAAACGUAAAAUCACUAGAAGGAGGGCCAGGAGAAUUAACUCUAAACACAAGAGCCCCAUCAACAUGAGUACAAUAUGGUCCAUUGCUAACUAGUGCCAAAAUGUCUUGGAGCUUCAAAGGAGGGCAAAGAACAUCAAUGAGGCAUUGUGCUGACAGUGAUAGUUUCUGGUUACUUUUUGGAAGUUCUACAUGGUACCAACAGAAUUCAUUGCCUCUGCCUUCAGCAAGAUCCCAUUCUUUGUUGUAAUAAUUUCCAAAACCAUCAAAUAUAUAGGCUUUCUGUCUCACCAUGCCUGGAAAACGGGAUUGAUAGAAGGGGGCACCCAUAAGAGGAGUGUCCCCAGAAGGUUCUCUGUCCAUCUCCUCUGAAUCCCCAUCUCCUAUUGAACGUUCCCUACCUAGAUCCAUAGCUUUUACAGCCAAUCCAAUGUACCAACUCCUAACUUAAAUUUGCAAACAAAUGAAUUUGAGUCCCAGACAGUGCAACAAACUUUCCUUCCUAUUUAAUCCAAAAUCAGAGAUGAGGGCGCCAGUGAAUCAAAUAAAAUUGAAAAAUUCCUAAAAACAACACAGAGCCAGCACUAUAUAUCCAAGAAAAUAACCAAAAUCAGAAUUGAUCACCGAAUGUAUGAGAAACCCAAUAAUCCUCACUGAAGUUCCCAAAACUCCAAAUUCACCAUUCAUCAAUCCCUAAAACUUCAAUAUAUAUAUAUACAAGUAAAAAUUUCAAUAUUUCAACGCAACAAGCAAUCCUAAAAUAAACACAUCCGCCAACCAACUCAGAAGAAUGAGUAAAAUACAGGCAAUAAAAAAGAUGCUUUACCUC